GGGCCAUACCACUCUCCUACAGACUUUCCUUCACCAACUCCCAUCUGAGCUGCAAGUAGAAAAAAAAAUUAACACCAAGCUCACUCCAGAAGGUCUAAUUCAGGAUGGGCAACUGAUGGGGGUGGGGGCCACAACUAAAUCUGAACUCAUCAUGGGUGGGCCGCAGUGGCUCGCGGGUCUGCGUACCCAUAUCCUCACCUUGUGAGCAAAACAUUUUAGCGGCCCUCUUGACAGCGGAGAGAAAAAGUUUUAGUUAAUUUCCUGAAUCUACACAUUUUUCCAUGGGGCAGAGAAGAAAAAAAGGAAACAGUGGAGGAUACGAUGGUACUUCUCCGGCUGUCCUCCCUCUGCCCUCCAACGCCAGGCUACAGCAGGAGAACAGGCCACAAUCACUGUGUCAUUCCCCUACCCUGUCUAAUAAAACCCUUUUCUCUUUCUCA